GAAUAUUAGUCAAUGCUCGAAAGAGUGAACUAGCUAACUGAAAUCAAUUUAUAUAAAUUGAUAACAUAAGGGAAAAUUAUGAUAUUACCUUAUUAUUAGUGUCGUCCAAAUCUGGUGCCAGAAGACUCGGUAAGGCCAGAGACACGAACGUUAAUCGUCUUAAUCAGGCGUAAAGGGUUUGUAGGCGGCUUAAAAAUUUAUAAAUUAAAUAAAAAAUAAAUUAAUAUUUUAUAAUUAAUAAAUAAAGAAUAAAAGCUAGAAUCAAAUAGAGGAUAUAUUAAAUAAUGCUUAGAGUAGGUCUGAUAUCCUUAGAUACUAAGUAGAAUAUUAAAGGCGAAAGCUUUUUUCCAUUAAUGAUUGACGCUCAGAAACGAAGGUGAGGAUAGGAAAUAGGAUUAGAUACCCAAAAUACUCCUCUCUGUCAACGAUGAAUGGUAGUUAUUAGUAAUAAAUUUGAUUAAUGACAAUGUUAACACGAUAACCAUUCCGCCUUGUGAGUACAACUGCAAAGUUGAAAACAAAAAAAUUAGUCGGUUUCGGAGCAAACGAAGUGAAGCAUGUUAUUUAAUG
rnacentral:rRNA from 1 species